GGGAUCAGUGAUGAAUCUCAUGGGGUUUCUCAAGCAAGAACUGUGAUUAAGCCCAUCUGCAACUCUGAGGUCUAU
ensembl:snoRNA